UACGGAGGGUGCAAACGUUGCUCGGAAUCAUUGGGCGUAAAGCGCUCGUAGGCGGCCUGACAAGUCAGGUGUGAAAGCCCUCGGCUUAACCGAGGAAGUGCACUUGAAACUAUUGGGCUAGAGUACUGAAGAGGGUCUCGGAAUUCCCGGUGUAGAGGUGAAAUUCGUAGAUAUCGGGAGGAACACCAGUGGCGAAGGCGGAGACCUGGGCAGAUACUGACGCUGAGGAGCGAAAGCGUGGGGUGCAAACAGG
rnacentral:rRNA from 1 species